GGGUGGCUUUUGGGGCUCGAGCCCCGAAUGUUUUGUCAAAAGCCCCGAAUCUUUUCAGAUCUGUAAAAUGAAUUCAUCCAGGACGCUAGGUGGCGGCACUCAGCUUUAACUCUCCGGUCCCCCACUCAACUGAAAAUGAAUAAGAGAAGCGUGUUGAAUGCAAAAUAACAUUCUGAAUCUCCCCACAGUAAACGCAUUUUCAAAGUGUCUUUAUUAUUACAGUGCCUUCGUUAUUACUGUAAGUGUAUAUUUAUAGUUAUGUGAUGUAAAUACUGUUAAAUAGCGUCAACUGAUAUAUUAUCUGCAUGGCUAACGUCUAACUUACUGUGGUGCUCUGGUCUAGUCUGCCUCAUUGGUCAUUGAUGGAUAUACGAUUUAUAUUUUUAAAGACGUCAGAAGUAAGAAGUGCAAAUAGGAAGAGAGGAGGGUGGAGAGAGAUCACAGACAGACAGAUAGACAGAAAGAGAGAGAAACGCUUCCAUAAGCAGGUGAGAAAUUGUUCUGUCAAUGAAGUCAAAAAUUGUUAUUCUUAUGUAGCUUAAUAGUUACUGGAUUAGCCUUCAGCAAACAUGUUUGCCUAUUUUUGGAUAAGAGAAGUUAAAGUAUCAUUGUCAAAA